GCCGGUUUAGCUCAGCUGGUAGAGCAACGGUUUUGUAAACCGUAGGUCACCUGUUCGAUUCAGGUAACCGGCACCA
rnacentral:tRNA from 1 species